GUCGAGUCCCCCUCUCUGGAGAACUGUCUGGACACAAUUUACUGAACCUAGCAUUGGGGUAUUUGUUUAUAGAAAACCAAAAGCAGUGCAUUUUCUAAUUCUCAGUGUUAGGAACAUUUUAACUUUGUGGGCCAAAGGAGAUACUGACAAAGUUUUACCUUUUGGGAUACACUUAAAACCUCUGAGCACUAAGGCAUUUAAACACAUUAGCUCUUGCAAAGGAGGGUGUUUGGUUCCAUCUGCUGUCUCCUUUGGGAAGCUCCUUGUUUUAUUGAUCAGCACUUGAGCUUUAAUCUGUCCUUUCAUGGUAUACACUGACUUUUGCUUCCACCUGCUGUGUAACUUGAAAAACUCCUUGUUUCAUUGAUCUGAUGACUGAGAUUUGUUCUUGUUAAUAAAGUAGCUCUGCAUUUUG